UCGCAUCUUCACACUUUAAAUGAGAAGUAACGCGCCCGCUUGUCGGUAGUAUCAGCCAGACAGCCUUGUGGAACACUAGCUGUACUUCUCCUCCUCCAGAAUCAUGAUAGCUUUCCUUGUUCUAAUCGGAUCUGUAGCAGUUUAUGGAAAACACUACUCCUGCAACCACACCAACCAUGACCAGCUGCUCCCGAGCCAGGUGAUCAGCAACGUCAUCGCCGACAUUGACACAGAUGGCGACGGCAUUGUGGAGCCAACCGAGGUCCAGGCGGAGUUCGUCGCCAGAUAUGACGUUGACA